GUGCCCACCUGGCAGCACGCGUCCUAAAAUAGGAACAGUACAUAGAAAACUAGCGUGGCCCCUGCCGGAGGAUCACAUGCAAAUGUACAGCCACCUGUGUUUUU
ensembl:snRNA U6 U6 spliceosomal RNA